UGGGGAAUAUUGGACAAUGCGGGAAACCGUGAUCCAGCAAUGCCGCGUGAGUGAUGAAGGCCUUAGGGUUGUAAAGCUCUUUUACCAGGGAUGAUAAUGACAGUACCUGGAGAAUAAGCUCCGGCUAACUCCGUGCCAGCAGCCGCGGUAAUACGGAGGGAGCUAGCGUUGUUCGGAAUUACUGGGCGUAAAGCGCGCGUAGGCGGCUAUUCAAGUCAGGGGUGAAAUCCCGGGGCUCAACCCCGGAACUGCCCUUGAAACUAGGUAGCUAGAAUACUGGAGAGGUGAGUGGAAUUCCGAGUGUAGAGGUGAAAUUCGUAGAUAUUCGGAAGAACACCAGUGGCGAAGGCGACUCACUGGACAGUUAUUGACGCUGAGGUGCGAAAGCUAGGGGAGCGAAAGGGAUUAGAUACCCCCGUAGUCC
rnacentral:rRNA from 1 species